rnacentral:rRNA from 1 species
GACGAACGCUGGCGGCGUGCCUAAUACAUGCAAGUUGAGCGCUGAAGGUUGGUACUUGUACCAACUGGAUGAGCAGCGAACGGGUGAGUAACGCGUGGGGAAUCUGCCUUUGAGCGGGGGACAACAUUUGGAAACGAAUGCUAAUACCGCAUAAAAACUUUAAACACAAGUUUUAAGUUUGAAAGAUGCAAUUGCAUCACUCAAAGAUGAUCCCGCGUUGUAUUAGCUAGUUGGUGAGGUAAAGGCUCACCAAGGCGAUGAUACAUAGCCGACCUGAGAGGGUGAUCGGCCACAUUGGGACUGAGACACGGCCCAAACUCCUACGGGAGGCAGCAGUAGGGAAUCUUCGGCCAUGGACGACAGUCUGACCGAGCAACGCCGCGUUAGUGAAGAAGGGUUUCGGAUCGUAAAACUCUGUUGGUAGAGAAGAACGUUGGUGAGAGUGGAAAGCUCAUCAAGUGACGGUAACUACACAGAAAGGGACGGCUAACUACGUG